AACAAAAAUUAAAUGGAAUGUGGAAAUUAACCAAUGUUGGGAGUGCAGACUAAAAGAAUAUGAUACAGAGGAAGGGACAGAAGUAGGCUUAUUUAGCAAAUGGAAGUGAAAAGCAAGUAUGAAGUUAUUCUGGAAAAGGAGGAAUCCAGAUUCUGUGGAGAAAGCAGGGGCUUCUCCCCUAAGAGUGAAGUGAGAAGAUCCAGGAGAAUGAUUUAUGUGAUGACAACAAUAAGAAGAAGAAAAAUGGACUUGAAAGACCACAGAGCUUAGAUCAAACAGCUCUGUAGAAAUAUCUCUCAGCAUCAACAGGAUCCACAGGAACAGUCAGUUGGUAGAUGGAUCAUGAGGAAAUUCACAGGGGAGAGAGAAUAUCUAGUUCUCUAGGUCCACCCUAGAAGACUAGACAGAAACUCAAUGUCAUGCCUGCUCAACUGUCUCUUAGAAGAAGCAACAGACCUGCGACUUCUCCAGAGUUCUGGAACCUUCUUGCUUCUGCCUUUGCAGGAUCUCCUGCUCCUGCUUAUUUCCCUAUAACAGUUCUGAAAUAUUUUGUGCAUCCCCUAUAGAUUCAAAAUGGUCCUAUGGUUACAAGUGCCCGUCAGUAAGCACUAUCUCUACAAAAUAUAAUAAAUUUGUUAGUAAACACGAUCUGUACA
rnacentral:lncRNA from 1 species